CCUACGGGGGGCUGCAGUGGGGAAUAUUGGACAAUGGGGGCAACCCUGAUCCAGCCAUGCCGCGUGUGUGAAGAAGGCCCUCGGGUUGUAAAGCACUUUCAGUGAGGAAGAACGCCUGGUGGUUAAUACCCAUCAGGAAAGACAUCACUCACAGAAGAAGCACCGGCUAACUCCGUGCCAGCAGCCGCGGUAAUACGGAGGGUGCGAGCGUUAAUCGGAAUUACUGGGCGUAAAGCGCGCGUAGGUGGCUUGAUAAGUCGGUUGUGAAAGCCCCGGGCUCAACCUGGGAACGGCAUCCGGAACUGUCAAGCUAGAGUGCAGGAGAGGAAGGUAGAAUUCCCGGUGUAGCGGUGAAAUGCGUAGAGAUCGGGAGGAAUACCAGUGGCGAAGGCGGCCUUCUGGACUGACACUGACACUGAGGUGCGAAAGCGUGGGUAGCAAACAGGAUUAGAUACCCGGGUAGUC
rnacentral:rRNA from 1 species